rnacentral:rRNA from 1 species
GGUGUAGACGGUUUUUUAAGUCGGGUGUGAAAUCUCCUAACUCAAUUAGGAGAGGUCAUUCGAUACUGGGAGACUUGAGGGCAGCAGAGGAAGGCGGAACUCCCGGUGUAGCGGUGAUAUGCGUAGAUAUCGGGAGGAACACCAGUGGCGAAGGCGGCCUUCUAGGCUGUUCCUGACGUUGAGGCCCAAAAGCGUGGGGAGCAAACA